rnacentral:rRNA from 1 species
GGAUGCAAUCAUACCGGCACUAAUGCACCGGA